CCUACGGGUGGCAGCAGUGAGGAAUAUUGGUCAAUGGACGAGAGUCUGAACCAGCCAAGUAGCGUGAAGGAUGACUGCCCUAUGGGUUGUAAACUUCUUUUGUCAAGGGACAAAAUCAGGCUCGAGAGCCUGACCGAGGGUACUUGAAGAAAAAGCAUCGGCUAACUCCGUGCCAGCAGCCGCGGUAAUACGGAGGAUGCGAGCGUUAUCCGGAUUUAUUGGGUUUAAAGGGUGCGUAGGCGGACUGUUAAGUCAGCGGUAAAAGCCCGGGGCUCAACCCCGGCGAGCCGUUGAAACUGGCUGUCUUGAGAUGUCGAGAGGUAUGCGGAAUGCGCAGUGUAGCGGUGAAAUGCUUAGAUAUUGCGCAGAACUCCGAUUGCGAAGGCAGCAUACCGGCGGCGAUCUGACGCUGAGGCACGAAAGCGUGGGUAUCGAACAGGAUUAGAUACCCGUGUAGUC
rnacentral:rRNA from 1 species